rnacentral:rRNA from 1 species
UAUGGUAGGGGCUUCUAUACAUGCAAGUCGAGCGAACAGAUAAGGAGCUUGCUCCUUUGACGUUAGCGGCGGACGGGUGAGUAACACGUGGAUAACCUACCUAUAAGACUGGGAUAACUUCGGGAAACCGGAGCUAAUACCGGAUAACAUAUUGAACCGCAUGGUUCAAUAGUGAAAGGCGGCUUUGCUGUCACUUAUUUCUGGAUACGCGCCGUAUUAGCUAGUUGGUAAGGUAACGGCUUACCAAGGCAACGAUACGUAGCCGACCUGAGAGGGUGAUCGGCCACACUGGAACUGAGACACGGUCCAGACUCCUACGGGAGGCAGCAGUAGGGAAUCUUCCGCAAUGGGCGAAAGCCUGACGGAGCAACGCCGCGUGAGUGAUGAAGGUCUUCCGAUCCUAAAACUCUGUUAUCAGGGAAGAACAAAUGUAAAAU